UACGUAGGUGGCAAGCGUUGUCCGGAAUUAUUGGGCGUAAAGCGCGCGCAGGCGGCCUUUUAAGUCUGAUGUGAAAGCCCACGGCUCAACCGUGGAAGGUCAUUGGAAACUGAAAGGCUUGAGUACAGAAGAGGAAAGCGGAAUUCCACGUGUAGCGGUGAAAUGCGUAGAGAUGUGGAGGAACACCAGUGGCGAAGGCAGCCCCCUGGGUCAAGAUUGACGCUCAUGCACGAAAGCGUGGGGAGCAAACAGG
rnacentral:rRNA from 1 species